ensembl:lncRNA
AAAUAUCCCAGAUUUUUUAAAACCUUGCGUAACCUUCAGGUAUUUUAUCUUCCUUUUCUCUUUUAACUUUUUUUUCACAUUCAACAUUCACACUGCUUCAAAGAGGCGAGCCUUUUAGCUUUUGAGGAAGCACCUUGGAUCCUUGUCUUUACUUUAUUGAGCACUCUGUUGCUGUUCCUCGGAAUGUACCUUGUCAACGAUUGCUUGUACAGAAGUAAAGAUGAUGACAUGUUAUAUUCUAGAGCCAUUUGCUACACUCUAAGCCCGGGUGAGACUAAACUUAAAGAGGAUGACAUGUUAUAUUCUAGAGCCAUUUACUACACCUUACGCCCGGGUGAGACUAAACUCAAAGGUGAGAUUAACUGUAACUAAUGAUUCCUUGUGCAUUACAUUCAGAUAACAUGUAAUAUGUGAUGGUUAGUAAAUAUUAAAUACUAGCAAUAUUAAUAAAACGUAUUGUUCAUGGCAAAAAAUUCAUGUUUGUACUGAAGAUGCCCUGUGAAGUUAAUUUUGGUUUGCAAUAGUAACAAUAGCUUUUUUUCUACCCUUUAAAGAAAAAUAAAUACAUUUUUGUUCUGUACUUCUUGUAAAUUUAACAGGUCUCAGAAAAAUAGCGGCAUGAAGUCAAAAUCACAUCUGAGUGAAAGUGAAGACAUUUAUCACACAUUGUUAUUACAAUUGAACAAGCUGUAUGUUAUCUACUCUGCAUAUAACAAAACUAUAAAGAACUAUAAGUACCAAUAAAGUUAAUAUGCUAACAAACGCUUCUGUCUGUUAUGUAGAAUUUUAAUUAAACCAGUUGUUGCUUCUGCUCAUUCUGCUUGUGCAUGAAUGCUGUUCAAAGAAAAAGAAAAAGCUGCUGCUGCUCAUUUCUU